AAGUUUCAUGGACCUUCACGCAAAAUGCAGGAGAUAUAAAUUUGAAUAGAGAAGAAAACAUUCAGAGAAAGAAGAAACAGUGAUGGGGAAGCAAAAUAUAUUGCGCAAUCAGGCAAGACAGGGGUACUUCAAUCUUGCUACAUUCACACUACCAACUGCUUUUUAUUCAUGUUUUCAAAAGCUUUGGUUCUAAUUUCUAAUCUUCCUUAGGAAUUCUACAGAAAACCCAAAGACAGGAGCUGCCGAUUAGUGGUCGGCAAAUGAAUAUAAGGAAUUAAUGGAACAAAUGUUUUGGUAAUGUUCCAGUACUGUA
rnacentral:lncRNA from 1 species